rnacentral:rRNA from 1 species
UACGUAGGGACCAAGCGUUGUUCGGAUUUACUGGGCAUAAAGGGCGCGUAGGCGGCGUGUUAAGUCAGCUGUGAAAUCUCCAAGCUUAACUUGGAACGGUCAGCUGAUACUGAUGUGCUAGAGUGCAGAAAGGGCAAUCGGAAUUCUUGGUGUAGCGGUGAAAUGCGUAGAUAUCAAGAGGAACACCUGAGGCGAAGGCGGGUUGCUAGGCUGACACUGACGCUGAGGCGCGAAAGCUAGGGUAGCAAACGGG